GUGUUUUCUCUCCAGGAAGACACCAACACAGUCACCAAAGUGACGACGGUGCACAGCAGCGAAUCGGUGAAGAGACCUUGGGAAAAGCCAACUUCGUCAGUCUCCAGAGGUAACUCCAUGCUGAAGACGACAGACUCCUCAAGCAGUUCACACGCUGGCACUCAGCCUAGGUACCUGACGUUCAAAUCGUUGUCUGUCGGCACUUUGCUGGCGCUGUUGCAACUGAGGGUUAAAGAUUUGAGGGAGGGGUCAGCACUGCAGUCGUCCACUAUGUGGCCAACUGUCCACUUGCCUGGUUGUCCAUUCUGUGUCUCCCCCCCACCCCCCAACCAACCAAUUUGUGACCAGAGGCCCCAUGGCUCCCAUUUUAUCUCAGCCGGGAGUGAGGUGGCGAAGUUUGCAAUGUUUUGUUUUGGGGUCUGGUGGGAGACCUUCAGGUGAUUCUGGUGAUGAGGGUUUGUGUGGGAUGCUGGUGGGCGUCAAUGGCGAGCUCCCACAUCCUGCAGUCUCCAAGUUGGGUGGUGGGGGGAGGUGUUGCAGUGGGCCAUAGCUCUAGCCCUUGGCCAUUGUUUCCAGGUUCACGACCACUCCAAGGGUUGACUCUCUCAGACUGUGUCCUGUUGGGCGAUUGGCUGUCUCUCCAUCAACCCAACGCACCAAUUUGCUGAUGGUGACAGCGGGAGGGGUUCACCGUCCUCCAGGACCAUGAAGAGGCGCUGUCAGGCAGCAGCAACCCAAUGUUGCUCAGUCAGAUGGGAGCCACCCACCCUCCUUGGUCACCUUGCACCCCCCAGCCAUGCCCCUGUCCCUGGCCAGCUCUGGUACCUCUCCCUCAGGAUUUAACUCGCGAUUAUUUCAGCAUUCAGUGCUAAAAAGCUUCUGCACAAACAGCUUUUAGCUUCUGGUCUCUGUGCUGGGGCAAAGACAGGGUUGGAAGUGAUGUAACGUCUGUCUGUCUUCAUUGAGCCACCUGCGCACGCUCAGCAGUGAGCACUCCCACUGUCGGAGGGUCAGCGCCGAGGGAGCGCCGCGCUGUCGGAGGG